rnacentral:rRNA from 1 species
CCCUUAGAUGUUCUGGGCCGCACGCGCGCUACACUGACAGGGCCAGCGAGUACAUCACCUUGGCCGAGAGGUCUGGGUAAUCUUGUUAAACCCUGUCGUGCUGGGGAUAGAGCAUUGCAAUUAUUGCUCUUCAACGAGGAAUGCCUAGUAGGCACAAGUCAUCAGCUUGUGCCGAUUACGUCCCUGCCCUUUGUACACACCGCCCGUCGCUCCUACCGAUUGGGUGUGCUGGUGAAAUGUUCGGAUCGGCCGUUUGUCGCGGUUUCCGCGUCAUGUGGCUGAGAAGUUCAUUAAACCCUCCCACCUAGAGGAAGGAGAAGUCGUAACA